AGCCCAGAAUUUCAGAUUGCAAAUCUGUGUUUGGGUAGGAUUACCCCUGGGCUU
rnacentral:tRNA from 1 species